rnacentral:rRNA from 1 species
AAUCAACGCUGGCGGCGUGCCUCAGACAUGCAAGUCGAACGAUUAAAGCUCUCUUCGGAGAGUGCAUAGAGUGGCGCACGGGUGAGUAACACGUAAGUAAUCUACCUUCGAGUGGGGAAUAACGUCCGGAAACGGGCGCUAAUACCGCAUAAUGCAGCGGCAUCGCAAGAUGACAGUUGUUAAAGGAGCAAUCCGCUUGAAGAGGAGCUUGCGGCAGAUUAGCUAGUUGGUGAGGUAAAGGCUCACCAAGGCGACGAUCUGUAGCGGGUCUGAGAGGAUGAUCCGCCACACUGGAACUGAGACACGGUCCAGACUCCUACGGGAGGCAGCAGUGGGGAAUUUUGGACAAUGGGCGCAAGCCUGAUCCAGCCAUGCCGCGUGAGUGAAGAAGGCC